GUCUUGGUACUACAUGUACAGGAUAGGUGGGAGGCUUUGAAACCAGGACGCCAGUUUUGGCGGAGCCAUCCUUGGGAUACCACCCUUGUAGUACUGGGACUCUAACCAUAGGCCAUGAAUCUGGUCUGGGGACACUGUCAGGUGGGCAGUUUGACUGGGGCGGUCGCCUCCCAAAAGGUAACGGAGGCGCUCAAAGGUUCUCUCAGUACGGUCGGAAAUCGUACGUAGAGUGUAAAGGCAAAAGAGAGCUUGAUUGCAAGACAUACAGGUCGAGCAAGGAUGAAAA
rnacentral:rRNA from 1 species